AACCUCCGCAAUGUGAGAAAUCGCGACGGGGGGAUCCCAAGUGCCAUUCUUAACGGGAUGGCUUUUCAUUAGUGUAAAGAGCUUUUGGAAUAAGAGCUGGGCAAGACCGGUGCCAGCCGCCGCGGUAACACCGGCAGCUCUAGUGGUAGCAAUUUUUAUUGGGCCUAAAGCGUCCGUAGCCGGUUUAAUAAGUCUCUGGUGAAAUCCUGCAGCUUAACUGUGGGAAUUGCUGGAGAUACUAUUAGACUUGAGAUCGGGAGAGGUUAGAGGUACUCCCAGGGUAGAGGUGAAAUUCUGUAAUCCUGGGAGGACCGCCUGUUGCGAAGGCGUCUAACUGGAACGGUUCUGACGGUGAGGGACGAAAGUUAGGGGCGCGAACCGGAUUAGAUACCCGGGUAGUCCUAACUGUAAACGAUGCGGACUUGGUGUUGGGUGGCUUUGAGCUGCUCCAGUGCCGAAGGGAAGCUGUUAAGUCCGCCGCCUGGGAAGUACGGUCGCAAGACUGAAACUUAAAGGAAUU
rnacentral:rRNA from 1 species